rnacentral:rRNA from 1 species
UACGAACCGUGCGAACGUUGUUCGGAAUCACUGGGCUUAAAGGGCGCGUAGGCGGGCUAUCAAGUCCGGGGUGAAAUCCUCCAGCUUAACUGGAGAACGGCCUCGGAUACUGAUGGUCUCGAGGAGGAUAGGGGCACACGGAACUGUGGGUGGAGCGGUGAAAUGCGUUGAUAUCCAUAGGAACUCCGGUGGCGAAAGCGGUGUGCUGGAUCCUUUCUGACGCUGAGGCGCGAAAGCCAGGGGAGCAAACAGG